UCUCCUCUCCUCCUCCCUUCUCACGCACGCAGCUCGAUCGCCAAACUCAUUUGCUUCGCGCCUCGUGCCGUUCCCUUCCUUUGAUUUGAACCCUCUCUCCCUGCUGGUGAGCUCGCGGCGGCGGCGGCGUGGAGAUGGCCGUUGCAGGGGGCGUGCGCGUGGCGUCGUCGGUGGAGGUGUGGGGGCGGCGGAGGAGCAGCAGCACCAGCACCAGCAGCGCGGCGAGGCGCGGCGCCGCGGCGGCGACCGUCAGGUGCAGCUGCGUCGGCGAGGCGGGGCCGGCCGCUGGGGGCCUGGCGGAGGAGCACUACCGGACGCUGCGGCUGCGGCCGGGGGCCACCCGCGGCGAGGUCAAGAAGGCCUUCCGCCGCCUCGCGCUCAUGGUGCGUUACCCGUAACCCCUCCUGUUCUCCCCCAUGGAUCCCCAGCUACUACCCAAUAUUCACGAUUUACCGCAGCAGCAGCAAGUAAACCAGUAAUUUCAUUUCAUUUCCUUUUUCACCCCUGACUGACGUGCCGAUUCCUCUGACGGGCUCCUUCCCCGGGCGUCGUCUUUGCUCCUGCAGUACCACCCGGACGUCUGCAAGGAGAGCGACGGCGGCGGCGGCCGCGACGCCUGCGGCGUCCAGUUCCAGCGGAUCAGCGUGGCGUACCAGGUGAGCUACCUUAGUUACCCACCACCCCAUUUCGUUUCUGCUUUCCCCUACCUGCUGCUGAAAUCUGAAUGAUUGACCUGACCAACGCGAUCCGUCGGAUGCAGAUGCUGAUGAGCAACAUGAGGGAGGCCGAGGAGCGGCUCGAGUACUGGCGGCUCAAGUACGGCCUCACCGACCAGGAUCUCGACAGGUACAGGAGCUACCUCAACGAGGACGACGACGACUGGUUCGACGUGUGAAGGAGCUGAUGAAGCGCCCGACCGAUAACCAAGGAUCUACACGGCUUGCCUAUCCGCACUGAUCUUAUUACCAUCGAUUAGUUUUAAUCUUGUUGCCAUGGCAGAGGCAGCA
rnacentral:lncRNA from 1 species